rnacentral:rRNA from 1 species
UAGAUGGAUCCAAAGUAUCUUCUGCCCACUGAUAUCGUUUAAUGGCCGCAGUACCCUGACUGUGCUAAGGUAGCGUGAUUCUUGUUUUCUUAAUUAGAAAUCUGUUCAAAGAAUGAAAUGAAGAGAAUCUAUUGUUUCCAUAUAAAGUGAACUUAAAUUGUUAGUGAAAAUUCUGACAAGCGUUUAAAAGACGAGAAGACCCCAUAAAACUUAAUUUGAUCUCUUUUUCAAGGGUUUAAAAUUUAAAUGGGGACUUUAGAGUAUAAUAAUAACUCAAAGACCUAUUUCUAUAAUAUUAGCGAAGCUACUUUGGGGAUAACAGGGUAAAAUAUUUAGAGAGU